rnacentral:rRNA from 1 species
UACGGGGGGUGCAAGCGUUAUCCGGAUUCACUGGGUUUAAAGGGUGCGUAGGCGGGCAGGUAAGUCUUGUGUGAAAUCCCUCGGCUUAACUGAGGAACUGCACGGGAUACUGCGAGACUUGAGUUCGGGAGAGGGAAGCGGAAUUCCGGGUGUAGCGGUGAAAUGCGUAGAUAUCCGGAGGAACACCGGUGGCGAAGGCGGCUUCCUGGACCGACACUGACGCUGAGGCGCGAAAGCUAGGGGAGCAAACGGG